rnacentral:rRNA from 1 species
AUAGCUUCUCGUAUAAAUAUAAGAAGUAGCUUCCUGCCCAGUGAUUUUUAAACGGCCGCGGUUUUCCGUGCUAAGGUAGCAUAAUCACUCGUCCUCUAAUUAAGGACUAGAAUGAAUGGAUUAACAAAAAAUAACUUUCUUUACUUUAAAUAUAAAACCUAAUAUAUGGAUGAAAAAUUCCAUAUUUUUUAAAAAGACCAAAAGACCCUAACGAGCUUAAAUAUUUUGCAAAAAUAUUUUUAGUUGGGGCGAUUAAAGAUAUAUUUCAUCUUUUUAAAAAAUAAACAAUAAUUCCACCUAAAAUAAAUAUAAAAUAGUUACCGUAGGGAUAACAGGCUACUCAAUUUUAAAAGUUCAUAUUAACAAAUUGUCUUAGCACCUCGAUGUUGGCUUAAGGGUACUCUAAAAUGCAGCAGUUUUAAUCAGUAGGCUUGUUCCGCCUUUCAUACCUUACGUGAUC